ACCCGCUGAACUUAAGCAUAUCAGUAAGCGGAGGAAAAGAAACUAACUAGGAUUGCCCCAGUAGCGGCGAGUGAACAGGCAAAAGCUCAAAGUGAAAAUCCAUAGCACAAUGUUAUGGAAUUGUAAUCUAGAGAAGCAUUCGAAGGUGAUUGGAUGUGACAUAAGUUCCUUGGAACAGGACGUCAAAGAGGGUGAAAACCCCGUAGUCGGUUACAUCUCGGAACCAACGAAUGUUUUCAAAGAGUCGGGUUGUUUGGGAUUGCAGCCCUAAAUGGGAGAUAAACUUCUUCUAAAGCUAAAUAUUUAUGGGAAACCGAUAGCGAACAAGUACUGCGAAGGAAAGAUGAAAAGAACUUUGAAAAGAGGGUUAAAAGACUUGAAACCGUUGAGAAGGAAGUGGUAGAAGAGUAAUCAUUUGUGUACGAUGUAAGCGUGUGUUUAUUAACUUAGUAAAGUUUUAGUACUUCAUAGGCUGUACUUUAUUAAAGUUAUGGUAAACUGCGUGGUUUUCGUAUACAAGAGACAAAAUGAGAUUAUGAUUAUAGGAGUCGUCUAUUUAGAAGACCUUUGUAAUUUAUUAUAAAGACCUAAAUAGCAAAACUAUAAUUUAGUCUGAGGGGCCUGAGGGCGAUUUUGUCAAAGUGGCUUC
rnacentral:rRNA from 1 species